UUUUGAUUCGUGCUUAUUGCAAAUUUGGACUUUCAUUACAAGGUUUAAAACUUUUGGAUACAAUGAAGAUGAUGAAUGUUUGUCCUAAUAUCAUAAUCUACAACACUCUCGUAGCAAGUUUCUGCAGGAAAGGCGAUGUUGAUGAGGCUGAGAGGUUGGUUCAGAGGAUGAGGGACGAUGGCCUACUUCCUGAUGUUGUUACCUUCAAUUCUAGGAUCUCAGCUCUUUGCAACUCCGGGAUUUUGUCAGAAAGGGAUGCUCGAAGAAGCAAG
rnacentral:misc_RNA from 1 species